CCAGAAGUGACCUGUGGUCCCAGAAGCGGAUGAUCCUCCUCCCAAUGAGUUGUCAGCUAUCAUUGUCGAUGCACAGUCUUCUGAAGCAGGAACAGCCAAGAAGUGGGUUCUAGGUUUGGUUCUGCCAGCUUACCACCUCAACACCACCUGCCGAAUCUCCCUUCUCUUUGUAUUAUCCUCACUUGCCCGACCUUCUUUCUAGAGUGUUGUGAAUACUGCACCUCUUAUAAUAAAGCCUCAAUGUGGUAUGAUGUGCAUAUAUUCCUACAGAGAUGCAAAACCACAAAAGCAUUUGCACUGUAUCAUCCCCACCCCAGUCUAUGUAUUCCCUGAAAGUGAAGAAGAAAAAGGUCAAAGAAAACAAUGUAAAAAUGCUUUAAGCUGCAUAAGGAAUAUUCAAGAUGGAAGGUCAUGGGAUGACACAGUGAUCAAGCCUGGAAGAGAGGCCUCACCAGAAACCAAUGCUGAGCGCGCCCUGGUCUUAUUUAUACUUGUAGCUUCCAGAACCACGAGA